CCCUACGUGCCCUCUCCCUCUGCUCUGCAAUUCACUCUCCUCUCCUCUCCGUCCUUUCCUUUCCUCAUCAGAAGACGAACAAGAAAAGCAAAUAUAUUUCCUCUCCAGCGUCUCUCUCUCCAGCAAACGCGCUUUCAAAUUUUGAAUCUCUUUUUUGGGCUCUCAGAUUUUGCUUCUCCGCUCGUUUCUACUCGGGCGUUCGUCAAGCGGCCGUUCCCCGCUCGUUUCUACUCCGGCGUUCGUCAAGCGGCCGUUCCCCGCCGUCGCCGACGAAGCACAUUAAGGCCGCCCCUCGCGCGCUCUUAAGGGAGUGAGGCAGAGGCCGAGGGGCGGUCACCCGCCCCUCAACAAGAGCUUCGGGUUAUCGCAGUUUUUCGGGAGCAACAACGAGCUUAGGGACGAGGUUGGGAGAGGGCAAUUAUUUUUUUUUUUCUCUUUUUGGUCGAAGGCGGCAGCUCCCAAGGCAAAGGCUGCUUCUGCCGCCAAGCCCAAAGGAGCUGUGGUGGGUGUGAAGAGAAAGGCGGCCGAGAAGCCGAAGUUGAAGCCCGCGGCGAAGCCGGUGCAGACUUCUGCGAAGGCGACGCCCUGUGAAGAAGGUUGCCCCCGCGAGGCUGAAGACGACGCCGGUGAAGAAGGCCAAGAAAUGAGUCGGGGAUCUAAUUUUGUGGUGUUGUCUCAUUCAACUGGGGAAGACCUUGUCUUGAAUUACUCAGGAAAUAGUAGCUGCUGAUUCAACAGAGUGUCCAGUAGUCUUUUGUAGUCCUUCUUACUUCUAUUUGGUGUGAAGUAUUCGAAGAUCUGUGAUGCGAUUUUAGCAUUUUGAUUUCCGCUCGAA